CAAACCACAGGGUGCCUCACUCAAUCCCUUUUCCUCCUCGUCUCCCCCCUCUCUCGUACGCCGCCGCCACCGCCUAGGGUCCCAAUUCACACCGCCUCCGCCGCUGCCGCUGAGGGCCAUCGGAGGGCCCGUCCCUCCUUCCAUGUGGAUCCACCGCCAAAGUCGUCCCUCCUUCCACCAGCUGGCACCCCAGUCGCGAGCGUGUGAUCCUCCUUCCACCGGUCACCGAGUGAGGCCACCUCGCCCGCUCCCUUCCAUGGCGCCACUGCCCCAACCCAUGCCCAACUCCCUCUUCCCUCAUUUCCAUGGCAGCAGAUCUGGGGGGGGGGGGGCAAGGGCCCUUCGCUCUCGGUGGUCUGAAGCGAGGCACGCGGCCUCUGCUCCCUCCGCAUCCAGCCAACUAGCCACUAGGAACAUGGCGGCAAUGAAUGGGAAGAAGAAGGCCGUUCACAAGACCACGGCCACUGAUGACAAAAGGCUUCAAAGGACCUUGAAAAGUGUAGGAGUGAACACCGUUCUUGGUAUCGAAGAGGUCAGCAUUGUCAAGGAUGACGUAGUUAUCCAGUUUCGAAUUCAGAAGUGCAAGAAUCCAUCACUUCAAACACCUGGGUUGUCUGUGGAACACCACGGACUAAAAAUCCCACUGCGUCGCCUUUCUCCCAACGGUUGCGCCGAUCGACCCGUACCUCUAACCAAUUGAUUCGGCAACACAGAGAGGAUGCUUCAAAGAAGCGUGAUGAGGAAAAAGUCGGAAUGACAUACAAGAGGACCAGGGAUGAACCAUGAAGAUGGCAGUUUGCGUCAGCUGGACAUUUUGUGUAAUGGAGCCAAAAUAAUGUGUCUUUUAGCUAUCAUUUUGUAAACCUUAUGGUAUCUUGUCAACUGGGUAUUAUGUGUAAUGGAGCAAACAAUGAAUAGAGGUCUAUCAUUUUGUAAA